rnacentral:rRNA from 1 species
GACGAACGCUGGCGGCGUGCCUAAUACAUGCAAGUCGAGCGCAGGAAAUCGACGGAACCCUUCGGGGGGAAGUCGACGGAAUGAGCGGCGGACGGGUGAGUAACACGUAAAGAACCUGCCCUCAGGUCUGGGAUAACCACGAGAAAUCGGGGCUAAUACCGGAUGGGUCAUCGGACCGCAUGGUCCGAGGAUGAAAGGCGCUUCGGCGUCGCCGGGGGAUGGCUUUGCGGUGCAUUAGCUAGUUGGUGGGGUAAUGGCCCACCAAGGCGACGAUGCAUAGCCGACCUGAGAGGGUGAUCGGCCACACUGGGACGGAGACACGGCCCAGACUCCUACGGGAGGCAGCAGUAGGGAAUCUUCCACAAUGGACGAAAGUCUGAUGGAGCAACGCCGCGUGAACGAUGAAGGCCUUCGGGUCGUAAAGUUCUGUUGUAAGGGAAGAACAAGUGCCGCAGGCAAUGGCGGCACCUUGACGGUACCUUGCGAGAAAGCCACGGCUAACUACGUGCCAGCAGCCGCCGUAU